GAGUGUGGAGUGCUGGAGUCCAAACUCUUUAGGGAUGGUUUUGUAGCCUCUUCCAGACUAAUGAGCAUCAACAACUCUUCAUCUGAGCUCCUCAGAAAUCACCAUCGUUCGUGCCAUUUUAUACUUCCACAAGCAUGUGUUGUGAAGAUCAGACUUUGAU